ACGCAUUUCAGAGCCUAAUUCACCUUAAUUAAUAAUUAAAAUUACAUUCAAAUCCAUAUUCAAAAUUCUAAUUCUAAAAUUCAUUCUAAAAUAUAUUUAUUGUAAUCCAUCUCUACUUGAAAAAGCUGCACCUUGAUCUGAUUUAAAAUACAAUUAUAUAUAAAAAUUAUAUAUUUCAAAAAAUAAUUUACAACGACGAUAUACAAACAAAAUACAAGUUUCAUUAAUCGUGGACUAUCGAUUACAGGACAGAUUCCCCUGAUUGGAAUGAAAAACCGCCAAAUUUUUUGAUUUUAAAGAACAUAUCUCAUAUUCGUCUGGUUCUAAACCUCUACGCCUAGAAUAAUGGGGUAUCUAAUCCCAGUCUAUUUAUCUAGAUUUCUUAACUUCAUAACCAAUUAAUUAAAUUAAAUAAAAAAUAAGAUUUCACCCAAUAUUUUAUUAAAAUAAAAAUUUUAUCUAUUAAUUAAAUAUAAUAACCGAAAAAAAAAAUAAUAGCAUUAUUUGUUUAACCGCA
rnacentral:rRNA from 1 species